UACGGAGGGUGCAAGCGUUAUCCGGAUUCACUGGGUUUAAAGGGUGCGUAGGCGGGUAUGUAAGUCAGUGGUGAAAUCCCCGAGCUUAACUCGGGAACUGCCAUUGAUACUAUAUAUCUUGAAUAUUCUGGAGGUAUGCGGAAUAUGUCAUGUAGCGGUGAAAUGCUUAGAGAUGACAUAGAACACCUAUUGCGAAGGCAGGUUACUACUAAUUAAUUGACGCUGAUGGACGAAAGCGUGGGGAGCGAACAGG
rnacentral:rRNA from 1 species